rnacentral:snoRNA from 1 species
AUUCCAUGAUGAGGACAGGCAUGAAUGUACUCCUAGAGAUGUUCCCAUGCUUCAGGAAUCGUUUCAUCAGGUUGUUGUUGGAAAAUAGAAAUCUUUUCACGAAGGGU